AUUCUACUCCCUCCAUUGCACAAUACAUGCCUUCUAUUUGUCAAAAUAUAUAUGUAUCUAGACAUGUUUUAGUAUAUAGGUACAUCCAUUUUUGGACAAAUGGAAGUGAAGUAUUUUGGAACGGAGGGAGUACACA
rnacentral:pre_miRNA from 1 species